GAAAUGCGAUAAGUAAUGUGAAUUGCAGAAUUCAGUGAAUCAUCGAAUCUUUGAACGCACAUUGCGCCCGCCAGUAUUCUGGCGGGCAUGCCUGUUCGAGCGUCAUUUCAACCAUCAAGCCCCCGGCUUGUGUUGGGGACCUGCGGCUGCCCGCAGGCCCUGAAAACCAGUGGCGGGCUCGCUGUCACACCGAGCGUAGUAGCAUACAUCUCGCUCAGGGCGUGCUGCGGGUUCCGGCUGUUAAAAGCCUUUUUUACCCAAGGUUGACCUCGGAUCAGGUAGGAAGACCCGCUGAACUUAAGC
rnacentral:misc_RNA from 1 species